AUUGAACGCUGGCGGCAUGCCUAACACAUGCAAGUCGAACGGGGCAGCAAUGCCUAGUGGCGGACGGGUGAGGAAUACGUAGGAAUCUGCCCUUAAGUGGGGGAUAACCAGGGGAAACCCUGACUAAUACCGCAUGAUCUCUUCGGAGCAAAGAGGGGGACCGCAAGGCCUCUCGCUUCUGGAUGAGCCUACGUCUGAUUAGCUAGUUGGUAGGGUAAAGGCCUACCAAGGCGACGAUCAGUAACUGGUCUGAGAGGAUGAUCAGUCACACCGGAAGUGAGAAACGGUGCGGACUCCUACGGGACGCAGCAGUGGGGAAUAUUGGACGAAGGGCGCAAGCCUGAUCCAGCAAUGCCGCGUGUGUGAAGAAGGCCUUCGGGUUGUAAAGCACUUUAGCCUGGAAAGAAAAAACUUUAGUUAACACCCAAAGUCUUGACGGUACAGGAGAAUAAGCACCGGCUAACUCUGUGCCAGCCGCCGCUGUAAUAC
rnacentral:rRNA from 1 species